rnacentral:rRNA from 1 species
CACGGGGGGAGCAAGCGUUGUUCGGAAUCACUGGGCGUAAAGGGCGUGUAGGCGGUUGGAUAAGUCUGUUGUUAAAGCCCCCGGCUCAACUGGGGGAGGUCAAUGGAGACUGUCCGACUUGAGGGCAACAGAGGCACAUGGAACUCCCGGUGUAGCGGUGGAAUGCGUAGAGAUCGGGAAGAACACCCGUGGCGAAGGCG